rnacentral:tRNA from 1 species
AGUCAAUGAACUUGAAUAAGUUUAUGUUUUGAAAACAUAAUAUAAAAGUAAUAUAAAUCUUUUAUUGACUU